rnacentral:tRNA from 1 species
GUCGCGGUGCCGGAGUGGUUAACGGGCGGCCCUGCUAUCUCUAGCAGCUGUGAGGCCGUGUCCUCGGACGCGCAGGUUCGAAUCCUGUCCUCGACG